rnacentral:misc_RNA from 1 species
GAUGAAGAACGCAGCGAAAUGCGAUAAGUAAUGCGAAUUGCAGAAUUCAGUGAGUCAUCGAAUCUUUGAACGCACAUUGCGCCCCGUGGUAUUCCGCAGGGCAUGCCUGUUCGAGCGUCAUUUCAACCCUCAAGCCCCGCUUGGUGUUGGGCCCCGCCCGCUGUGGCCGGCCCUAAAGACAGUGGCGGCGCCGCCUGGCCCUCAGCGUAGUACAUCUCUCGCUCCAGGGUCCGGUGGCCGCCUGCCAGAACCCCCCAACUCUGUGGUUGACCUCGGAUCAGGUAGGGAUACCCGCUGAACUUAAGCAUAUCAAUAAGCGGAGGA